CAACCUGCCUCAUACAGGGGAUAACAGUUAGAAAUGACUGCUAAUACCGCAUAAGCGCACAGCAUCGCAUGAUGCCGUGUGAAAAACUCCGGUGGUAUGAGAUGGACCCGCGUCUGAUUAGCUAGUUGGUGAGGUAACGGCCCACCAAGGCGACGAUCAGUAGCCGACCUGAGAGGGUGACCGGCCACAUUGGGACUGAGACACGGCCCAA
rnacentral:rRNA from 1 species